rnacentral:rRNA from 1 species
GAACGCUGGCGGCGUGCUUAACACAUGCAAGUCGAACGGAGAUUAUACGCAGAGGCGAUUUCGGUCAAAUCAUGUGUAAUCUUAGUGGCGGUCGGGUGAGUAACGCGUGGGUAACCUGCCUUACACUGGGGGAUAACACUUAGAAAUAGGUGCUAAUACCGCAUAAGCGCACGAAGCCGCAUGGAUUUGUGUGAAAAACUCCGGUGGUGUAAGAUGGACCCGCGUCUGAUUAGCUUGUUGGCGGGGUAACGGCCCACCAAGGCGACGAUCAGUAGCCGGCCUGAGAGGGUGGACGGCCACAUUGGGACUGAGACACGGCCCAAACUCCUACGGGAGGCAGCAGUGGGGAAUAUUGCACAAUGGGCGAAAGCCUGAUGCAGCAACGCCGCGUGAAGGAAGACGGUUUUCGGAUUGUAAACUUCUAUCAAUAGGGAAGAAAGGAAUGACGGUACCUAAAUAAGAAGCCCCGGCUAACUACGUGCCAGCAGCCGCGGUAAUACGUAGGGGGCAAGCGUUAUCCGGAAUUACUGGGUGUAAAGGGAGAGUAGGCGGCAAGGUAAGCGAUAUGUGAAAGCCUUAGGCUUAACCUGAGGAUUGCAUAACGAACUAUCUAGCUAGAGUACAGGAGAGGAAAGCGGAAUUCUUAGUGUAGCGGUGAAAUGCGUAGAUAUUAGGAAGAACACCAGUGGCGAAGGCGGCUUUCUGGACUGAAACUGACGCUGAGGCUCGAAAGCGUGGGGAGCGAACAGGAUUAGAUACCCUGGUAGUCCACGCUGUAAACGAUGAGUGCUAGGUGUCGGGGAGGAAUCCUCGGUGCCGGAGCAAACGCAAUAAGCACUCCACCUGGGGAGUACGACCGCAAGGUUGAAACUCAAAGGAAUUGACGGGGGCCCGCACAAGCGGUGGAGCAUGUGGUUUAAUUCGAAGCAACGCGAAGAACCUUACCAAGGCUUGACAUCUCGUUGACGAAUGUAGAGGUACAUUUUUUCUUCGGAACAUCGAUGACAGGUGGUGCAUGGUUGUCGUCAGCUCGUGUCGUGAGAUGUUGGGUUAAGUCCCGCAACGAGCGCAACCCUUAUCUUCAGUAGCCAGCAUAUAAGGUGGGCACUCUGGAGAGACUGCCGUGGAUAACACGGAGGAAGGUGGGGAUGACGUCAAAUCAUCAUGCCCCUUAUGUCUUGGGCAACACACGUGCUACAAUGGCUGGAAACAAAGUGAAGCGAGACGGUGACGUUAAGCAAAGCACAAAAACCCAGUCCCAGUUCGGAUUGUAGUCUGCAACUCGACUACAUGAAGCUGGAAUCGCUAGUAAUCGCGAACCAGAAUGUCGCGGUGAAUACGUUCCCGGGCCUUGCACACACCGCCCGUCA